rnacentral:rRNA from 1 species
AUGAACGCUGGCGGCGUGCCUAAUACAUGCCAGUCGAGCGAACAGACGAGGAGCUUGCUCCUCUGACGUUAGCGGCGGACGGGUGAGUAACACGUGGAUAACCUAGCUAUAAGACUGGGAUAACUUCGGGAAACCGGAGCUAAUACCGGAUAAUAUAUUGAACCGCAUGGUUCAAUAGUGAAAGACGGUUUUGCUGUCACUUAUAGAUGGAUCCGCGCCGCAUUAGCUAGUUGGUAAGGUAACGGCUUACCAAGGCAACGAUGCGUAGCCGACCUGAGAGGGUGAUCGGCCACACUGGAACUGAGACACGGUCCAGACUCCUACGGGAGGCAGCAGUAGGGAAUCUUCCGCAAUGGGCGAAAGCCUGACGGAGCAACGCCGCGUGAGUGAUGAAGGUCUUCGGAUCGUAAAACUCUGUUAUUAGGGAAGAACAAAUGUGUAAGUAACUAUGCACGUCUUGACGGUACCUAAUCAGAAAGCCACGGCUAACUACGUG